AGAGUUUGAUCCUGGCUCAGAUUGAACGCUGGCGGCAUGCCUUACACAUGCAAGUCGAACGGCAGCACGGGAGUAAUCCUGGUGGCGAGUGGCGAACGGGUGAGUAAUAUAUCGGAACGUGCCCAGUCGUGGGGGAUAACGCAGCGAAAGCUGUGCUAAUACCGCAUACGAUCUCUGGAUGAAAGCGGGGGACUCGCAAGAGCCUCGCGCGAUUGGAGCGGCCGAUAUCAGAUUAGCUAGUUGGUGGGGUAAAGGCCCACCAAGGCGACGAUCUGUAGCUGGUCUGAGAGGACGACCAGCCACACUGGAACUGAGACACGGUCCAGACUCCUACGGGAGGCAGCAGUGGGGAAUUUUGGACAAUGGGCGCAAGCCUGAUCCAGCAAUGCCGCGUGCAGGAUGAAGGCCUUCGGGUUGUAAACUGCUUUUGUACGGAACGAAAAGGUCUGCCUUAAUACGGUGGGCCCAUGACGGUACCGUAAGAAUAAGCACCGGCUAACUACGUGCCAGCAGCCGCGGUAAUACGUAGGGUGCGAGCGUUAAUCGGAAUUACUGGGCGUAAAGCGUGCGCAGGCGGUUAUAUAAGACAGAUGUGAAAUCCCCGGGCUCAACCUGGGACCUGCAUUUGUGACUGUAUAGCUAGAGUACGGUAGAGGGGGAUGGAAUUCCGCGUGUAGCAG
rnacentral:rRNA from 1 species